AUGGCGGCCGUGAUGGUGCGCGAGGUGUUGUACAUGUACAGCGUCGUGCGGCAGGCGUACGAGCGGCUCCUGUCCGUGUGCGGCAGCCCGGAGAAGGCCCAGAACGCGGUGGCGCUGCUGGUGUGGCUGGACCAGGACACCAUCUCCGCCAUCCACUUCGUCCCAGCCAUCGGCCCCGACGCAGUCGCCGUCGUGGCUGAAGAGGCCAACACCGUCCUCAAGUGCUUCCGCCACCAGUUGCCCAUGCUCCCGCCCAUCCCGCUCAUCUCUGCGCUCUGCAUGCAAGGCGGUGUCUGCAUCGACCCGGGCUUCUUCGCCUUCCACCAGGACCUCGUCGUCCGCAGCGUCCCCCACUUCCUCGACGGUGCCGGAAGUGGGGUGACUUCGUGGUGA
rnacentral:rRNA from 1 species